rnacentral:rRNA from 1 species
GAUAAACGCUGGCGGCGUGCCUAAUACAUGCAAGUCGAACGAGGUAGCAAUACCUAGUGGCGUACGGGUGAGUAACACGUUGGGAACCUGCCCUUAAGACCGGAAUACCAGAUGGAAACAUUUGCUAAUGCCGGAUGUUGAUAUUUUUACGCAAGUAAUUAUAUCCAAAAGGAACUAUUGUUCCGCUUUCGGAUGGCCCUGCGUCGCAUUAGUUAGUUGGCGGGAUAAAGGCCCACCAAGACUGGGAUGCGUAGCCGAGCUGAGAGGCUGAUCGGCCACAUUGGGACUGAGACACGGCCCAGACUCC